rnacentral:rRNA from 1 species
UACGGAGGGUGCAAGCGUUGCUCGGAAUUAUUGGGCGUAAAGGGUAGGUAGGUGGUCUUAUUUGUCUGAGGUGAAAUCCUUGAGCUUAACUCAAGAAGUGCCUCAGAAACGGUGAGACUAGAGUCCUGGAGAGGGUCGUGGAAUUCCCGGUGUAGCGGUGAAAUGCGUAGAGAUCGGGAGGAACACCAGAGGCGAAGGCGGCGACCUGGACAGGUACUGACACUCAACUACGAAAAGCGUGGGGGAGCAAACAGG